rnacentral:lncRNA from 10 species
UGGCUGUAGCGCUUCGGAGAGACUGCCUCCGCCCUUCCCCGGCCUGGAGCCGGAGUCCGAGGGGGCGGCCGGGGGAUCAGAACCCGAGGCUGGGGACAGCGACACCGAGGGGGAGGACAUUUUCACCGGCGCCGCGGUGGUCAGUAAACAUCAGUCUCCAAAGAUAACUACAUCCCUUCUUCCCAUCAACAAUGGCUCCAAAGAAAAUGGGAUCCAUGAAGAACAAGACCAAGAGCCACAGGAUCUCUUUGCAGGGUCUCACUCUGUUGCCCAGGCUGGAGUGCAGUGGUGUGGUCAUGGCUCACUGCAGCCCCGACCUCCCAGGCUCAAGUGAUCUUCCCACCUCAACCUUCUGAGUAGCUAGGACCACAGAUGCCACAGUGGAGCUAUCCUUGGACAGCACACAAAAUAAUCAGAAGAAGGUGCUAGCCAAAACACUCAUUUCUCUUCCUCCUCAGGAAGCCACAAAUUCUUCGAAGCCCCAGCCAACCUAUGAGGAGCUAGAGGAAGAAGAACAGGAGGAUCAAUUUGAUUUGACAGUCGGUAUAACUGAUCCUGAGAAGAUAGGGGAUGGUAUGAAUGCAUAUGUAGCCUACAAAGUUACAACACAGACAAGCUUACCAUUGUUCAGAAGCAAACAGUUUGCAGUAAAAAGAAGAUUUAGUGACUUUCUGGGUCUUUAUGAGAAGCUUUCCGAGAAGCACUCUCAGAAUGGCUUCAUUGUCCCUCCGCCCCCGGAGAAGAGCCUCAUAG